GCAUAUCAUAGCGAGAAAGAACCACAGGGAUUGCCUAGUACGCGAGUGAAGCGGCAACAGCUCAAAUUUGAAAUCUGGCUCUUUUAGGGUCCGAGUUGUAAUUUGCAGAGGGUGCUUUGGUGUUGGCAGCGGUCUAAGUUCUUUGGAACAGGACGUCACAGAGGGUGAGAAUCCCGUACGUGGUCGCUAGCCCUCGCCGUGUAAAGCCCCUUUCGACGAGUCGAGUUGUUUGGGAAUGCAGCUCUAAAUGGGAGGUAAAUUUCUUCUAAAGCUAAAUACUGGCCAGAGACCGAUAGCGCACAAGUAGAGUGAUCGAAAGAUGAAAAGCACUUUGGAAAGAGAGUCAAAUAGCACGUGAAAUUGUUGAAAGGGAAGCGCUUGCAGCCAGACUUGCCUGUAGUUGCUUAUCCGGACUUUUGUCCGGUGCACUCUUCUGCGGGCAGGCCAGCAUCAGUUUAGGCGGUUGGAUAAAGGUCUCUGUCAUGUACCUCUCUUCGGGGAGGCCUUAUAGGGGAGACGACAUGCAACCAGCCUGAACUGAGGUCCGCGCAUCUGCUAGGAUGCUGGCGUAAUGGCUGUAAGCGGCCCGUCUUGAAACACGGACCAAGGAGUCUAACAUCUAUGCGAGUGUUUGGGUGUCAAGCCCAGACGCGUAAUGAAAGUGAACGGAGGUGGGAACCCUUACGGGUGCACCAUCGACCGAUCCUGAUGUCUUCGGAUGGAUUUGAGUAAGAGCAUGGCUGUUGGGACCCGAAAGAUGGUGAACUAUGCUUGAAUAGGGUGAAGCCAGAGGAAACUCUGGUGGAGGCUCGCAGCGGUUCUGACGUGCAAAUCGAUCGUCAAAUUUGGCAUAG
rnacentral:rRNA from 1 species